GGCAUCGAGCAAAGACCAAGUGGAGGAAGGAGGAGAGGAUGUCGGAAAAGAUGCCCGGGGGUGGUCCCGUUGAGCGCUUUUUUAAGAACGAGGAUACUGCGAAGACACAGGGCCCUUCCUCUAGCGUCAAUCCUGUUGGUGCAAAAAUUCGCUUGCACCGGAGAAGCUGGAGUCGAGGGAGUCGCGGUCGUCGUCGGGA
rnacentral:lncRNA from 1 species